rnacentral:sRNA from 1 species
AGGGAAAAUGAGGCUUCCUUCAGUUUGGCGGGUUUCCCGCCGAAGGAAGCCGAGAUCCGAAAGUUUUAAAAGAUCUCCUCAAAAGUAGGGUUAGGC